rnacentral:tRNA from 1 species
AGUUAAUGAGCUUGAAAUAAGCAUAUAUUUUGAAAAUAUAAGAUAAAUUUAUAAUAUUUAUUAACUU